AGUGCAUAUCAUUUUUGUUUGCUUGGAGGUGCUUGUGGCGUUGGUCCACAGCAUCUUUACUAUCACCACAAUGUGGUUCCUGGCUUUUUAGGUUACACCGAUCCUUCCGACAGUUUCGAGCUGCAUGAGUUUUGGCAGAGGACGAGGUGUAUGGACGGCGAUUUUAUUAUUAACUGCUUGCAUUAAGGGCGUCUAUCUUAACCAGCUGGCCAACUACUUAAUCAGUCGGGCGCCGCACGUUGCCGAAGACCAGCGGCACCAAUUCUCAUCGGAAUCAUCCGAUAUGCGAUUCGCCACAUUGGCUGACCUGGCAUUAGCCGCGCUGCCGUACAUCGAUGCGAGAAAAUACAGUGUCCCGCAUGGCUGCUUCUUGGUGGUCUACCUGAUCAUCACAGUCCACGUUAUUCAUCAACAGAGAAAACUGCUGGCACUAGGACGACCUGUGGUCGCAGCCUGGUACCGACAGAUAUCCUACGUCCUGGUGUCCGCGAGCGACGUAUGCUCCUGCAUGUUGUUACUUAGUGGAGCGGCGAAGGAGCUGAUCGCGAUGUACUGCAGGACGAGUGAUUUUUACCCGUUUUCCGUAGCGCUGGUCCAUUGCGUUUUCGUUGUCGGUGAAGUAGUGGUUGGUGUAGUCCACUCUCUCUUUUUCCUCACCACAAUGGGCUACUUCUACAUAUAACAAAUCCGGAUUCCCAAGUCUCUCUUCAGAUCUUCGAUGAAGUUCGUGACCUCGUUACAACUUCGUAACUGAACUUUAAGCAAAAUGUCGUCCUUAAUUACUUCCAAGCAACAGAGAUGCACCGGGACCCUCUUUGUGUCUUUGCACUCAAAGAAGUGCUUGGGUUAAGAAUUAUGGCCUCUAAUGAACCUGUCGAUGUUUCGUUGUUUUCACAAUAUACUACAAAGCAGUCGA